GAGAAUAUAGCUCAAUGGUAGAGCACAUGCUUAGCAUGCAUGCGGUCAUGCGUUCGAUCCCCAGUACUUUCA
rnacentral:tRNA from 1 species